UACGUAGGAUGCGAGCGUUGUCCGGAAUUAUUGGGCGUAAAGAGAACGUAGGCGGUUUGCCAAGUUUGAUCUUAAAGACCGGGGCUUAACUCCGGGAGUGGAUCGAAAACUGGCAGACUAGAGGACGUCAGAGGAAAGUGGAAUUCCCAGUGUAGCGGUGAAAUGCGUAGAUAUUGGGAGGAACACCAGUGGCGAAAGCGACUUUCUGGGACGUUCCUGACGCUGAGGUUCGAAAGCUCGGGGAGCAAACAGG
rnacentral:rRNA from 1 species